rnacentral:rRNA from 1 species
AACGAACGCUGGCGGCAGGCUUAACACAUGCAAGUCGAGCGCCCCGCAAGGGGAGCGGCAGACGGGUGAGUAACGCGUGGGAAUCUACCCAUCUCUACGGAAUAACGCAUGGAAACGUGUGCUAAUACCGUAUACGUCCUUCGGGAGAAAGAUUUAUCGGAGAUGGAUGAGCCCGCGUUGGAUUAGCUAGUUGGUGGGGUAGAGGCCUACCAAGGCGACGAUCCAUAGCUGGUCUGAGAGGAUGAUCAGCCACACUGGGACUGAGACACGGCCCAGACUCCUACGGGAGGCAGCAGUGGGGAAUAUUGGACAAUGGGCGCAAGCCUGAUCCAGCCAUGCCCCGUGAGUGAUGAAGGCCCUAGGGUUGUAAGGCUCUUUCACCGGUGAAGAUAAUGACGGUAACCGGAGAAGAAGCCCCGGCUAACUUCGUGCCAGCAGCCGCCGUAAGAC